rnacentral:rRNA from 1 species
GCAAGUCGAAGGUGAACCUGGACUUCGGUCCAGUGGAAACUGGCGCACGGGUGAGUAACGCGUGGGAAUCUACCUAGUGGUUCAGAAUAACCGCGGGAAACUGCGGCUAAUACUGAAUACGCCCUCCGGGGGAAAGAUUUAUCGCCAUUAGAUGAGCCCGCGUCGGAUUAGCUUGUUGGUGAGGUAACGGCUCACCAAGGCGACGAUCCGUAGCUGGUCUGAGAGGAUGAUCAGCCACACUGGGACUGAGACACGGCCCAGACUCCUACGGGAGGCAGCAGUGGGGAAUAUUGGACAAUGGGCGCAAGCCUGAUCCAGCCAUGCCGCGUGAGUGAUGAAGGCCUUAGGGUUGUAAAGCUCUUUCAGCAGGGAAGAUAAUGACGGUACCUGCAGAAGAAGCCCUGGCUAACUCCGUGCCAGCAGCCGCGGUAAUACGGAGGGGGCUAGCGUUGUUCGGAUUUACUGGGCGUAAAGCGCGCGUAGGCGGCUUGCCAAGUUGGGGGUGAAAGCCCAGGGCUCAACCCUGGAACUGCCCUCAAAACUGGCUCGCUAGAGACCGGGAGAGGUGAGUGGAAUUCCCAGUGUAGAGGUGAAAUUCGUAGAUAUUGGGAAGAACACCAGUGGCGAAGGCGGCUCACUGGACCGGUACUGACGCUGAGGCGCGAAAGCGUGGGGAGCAAACAGGAUUAGAUACCCU